ACGGCGAAACGCUGAAAAGCCAAAACAGAGUAAGCA
rfam:Mucilaginibacter pedocola strain TBZ30 scaffold2, whole genome shotgun sequence.